rnacentral:lncRNA from 1 species
GGGGAGUUAGGGUCAAGAUUGGGCUUCUUUAGAAUUGGGGUUACAGUUGCAUGUUUGUAGGGCAAUGGAAUAUACCAGAGGAGAGAGAGAGAUAUUGAGAAUUUCAGUGAGAGGCGGAGAAAGAGAAGAAGACAGUACGGAUGAGGUGCGAGGGAAUUGGAUCUAGGGAGCAGGUGGUGGGGCGGGAGGACUGGAGCAGAGCAGAAACCUCUUCCAAUGUAGCGGGUACGAAUGAACAUAGAACAGCAGAGGGAGUGAAGUUAGGGGAAGUAUUGUAAGGGGAAGAAGAAAGAUGAGAUAUCUCUGAUUGUAGAGAUCUUGUCAGUGAAGUUAGUUGCAAAGUCUGAGGCGGUCAAGUUAGUAGGUGGAGGAGGAACAGCAGGGCGAAGAAGAGAGUUAAAUGUGUGAAAUAGUCGUUUCCUAAGUGAGUGAAUAAGAGAUAGCCGUAGACUACCUUUCUAGUACCUGAAGA